UCAACCCAUCGAUCCUCAUCGAAAAUUUUAUCGGCAUCGUAUCGAUUUUUCGAUUAAUUUUUGCCGCACUUUAACGGGCUUUCUCGAUGAACUGUUAACAGGAAAGCAAAGUGCGAGUGGAAACCGCGAGAGCGCGUUAGUUGCUCUUAACAUUUGGAGCUGAGAAGGUGUUUUCCGUGGUGCUCUGUGUUUUCUUCCAAUUUUUAAGAAAGUCAUCAUCAUCAAGUCCAGAUGAAGAUUCCUGAGCGUAAGCUUCCAGAGAUGCACUCCCACUAGAGAGACUUUACAUGGAGCAAUCGUAAUCCCAAUAUCCCGAGAGGAGAUGUGUUGAAUCAUGUUGAAAUAUUAUUAAAAAUAAAUCUGUUUAAAUUGAAAUAAA